rnacentral:rRNA from 1 species
GGUUAAGCGACUAAGCGUACACGGUGGAUGCCCUGGCAGUCAGAGGCGAUGAAGGACGUGCUAAUCUGCGAUAAGCGUCGGUAAGGUGAUAUGAACCGUUAUAACCGGCGAUUUCCGAAUGGGGAAACCCAGUGUGUUUCGACACACUAUCAUUAACUGAAUCCAUAGGUUAAUGAGGCGAACCGGGGGAACUGAAACAUCUAAGUACCCCGAGGAAAAGAAAUCAACCGAGAUUCCCCCAGUAGCGGCGAGCGAACGGGGAGCAGCCCAGAGCCUGAAUCAGUGUGUGUGUUAGUGGAAGCGUCUGGAAAGGCGCGCGAUACAGGGUGACAGCCCCGUACACAAAAAUGCACAUGCUGUGAGCUCGAUGAGUAGGGCGGGACACGUGGU